GUAGCUGACGCAGUUUUUGUGCAGAAUCUCAAAAAAACAGUCUCAGUUCGGAUUGAAGUCUGCAACUCGACUUCAUGAAGUUGGAAUCGCUAGUAAUCGCGAAUCAGCAUGUCGCGGUGAAUACGUUCUCGGGGUUUGUACACACCGCCCGUCAAACCACGAAAGUUGGCAAUACCCAAAGCCGGUGGCCUAACUUCGCAAGAAGAGGGAACCGUCUAAGGUAGGGUCGAUGAUUGGGGUUAAGUCGUAACAAGGUAUCCCUACCGGAAGGUGGGGAUGGAUCACCUCCUUUCUAAGGAAACAAUUAUCAUCUUCAGUUUUGAGAGACUUAAGAAAGUUUUUCAUUGUAACUUGCUUGCAAAUUGUAUUUGCAACAUUUUAAUCUUUUUAAGAUUAAGGGCCUAUAGCUCAGUUGGUUAGAGCACACGCCUGAUAAGCGUGAGGUCGGUGGUUCGAGUCCAUUUAGGGCCCACCAAAACCACAAA
rnacentral:misc_RNA from 1 species